ACCAGGAUGUCCGAGUGGUUAAGGUGCUGGACUAAAGAUCUAAUGAGCGUACGCUCACCUGGGUUCAAAUCGCACUCCUGGUA
rnacentral:tRNA from 1 species